rnacentral:rRNA from 1 species
ACGCACGCUGGCGGCGUGCUUAACCCCUGCCAGUCGCACGGAAAGGCCCUGCUUUUGUGGGGUGCUCGAGUGGCGAACGGGUGAGUAACACGUGAGUAACCUGCCCUUGACUUUGGGAUAACUUCAGGAAACUGGGGCUAAUACCGGAUAGGAGCUCCUGCUGCAUGGUGGGGGUUGGAAAGUUUCGGCGGUUGGGGAUGGACUCGCGGCUUAUCAGCUUGUUGGUGGGGUAGUGGCUUACCAAGGCUUUGACGGGUAGCCGGCCUGAGAGGGUGACCGGCCACAUUGGGACUGAGAUACGGCCCAGACUCCUACGGGAGGCAGCAGUGGGGAAUAUUGCACAAUGGGCGGAAGCCUGAUGCAGCAACGCCGCGUGCGGGAUGACGGCCUUCGGGUUGUAAACCGCUUUCGCCUGUGACGAAGCGUGAGUGACGGUAAUGGGUAAAGAAGCACCGGCUAACUACGUG